rnacentral:rRNA from 1 species
CGAUGGUUGUCGUCAGCUCGUGUCGUGAGAUGUUGGUUAGUCCGCAACGAGCGCAACCCUAUUGUUAGUUGCCAUCAUUCAGUUCGGGCACUCUAGCGAGACUGCCGGUAAUAAACCGGAGGAAGGUGGGAUGACGUCAAAUCAUCAUGCCCCUUAUGACCUGGGCUACACACGUGCUACAAUGGUUGGUACAACGAGUUGCGAGUCGGUGACGGCGAGCUAAUCUCUUAAAGCCAAUCUCAGUUCGGAUUGUAGGCUGCAACUCGCCUACAUGGAGUCGGAAUCGCUAGUAAUCGCGGAUCAGCACGCCGCGGUGAAUACGUUCCCGGGCCUU